rnacentral:SRP_RNA from 1 species
GUCAGGCGUUGUGGUGGAUGCCUGUGGUCCCAGCAACUUGGGAGGCUGAGGUAAGAGACUAGCUUGAGCCCAGGAGUUGGAGGUUGCUGUGAGCUUUGAUGCCAUAGCACUCUACCCAGGGGGGACAGCUUGAGGCGCUGUCUCAAAAAAAAGAAAGAAAGAAAGAAAAUUCCCAUUUUAUUUUAUUUUUUAUUUAUUUUUUUUUGAGACAGAGCCUCAAGCUGUCCCCCUGGGUAGAGUGCUUUGGCAUCACAGCUCACAGCAACCUCCAACUCCUGGGCUCAAGCGAGUCUCCUGCCUCUG